AUAGUUCGGCUGGUGUGACGAGUGCUGCGCGACGACAUUAUAAAGGCGGCGCGAGUUCGGCGCGGCGAGGGAAGAAGGUAAACGGCGGGGCUGGCGAUACAUUUGGACUCGGAACGGGAGAAUAUACGUGCGUCGGGGGGAUGGAGACAACAGUGCAACGGAUACGAACGGAAAAAGACAUUAACAAUAUUUUUUUGUAUAAAUUGAGUUUGUAUAUAGAGCGCUUGUUCAAAAUUUCAAAGUAUCAUUUCGGAAACUGCGUUGUAUUAAGUUUAAUAAAACUAAAUACAAUUUAAAUAUAUUUGUUUGAAUUAGAUAAAGGAUUUCCGGUCAUAAUUUUAUUACAUACAGUGUUUAAUUGAAUUUAUUACACGGCACACAGUAAAUGCAAUGGUUCUUUGUGUUAUUCAAUACCAGAUUGAAAAUGUGCAAUGUAGUUGGCGGUGUUGCGUCCCCAUAUGUCUAUACAGCGAGAUUAAUAAUAUAGGUAUCUAAAGGUUGGUAUCAUUCUUUUUAUAGCCGUGUCGUGUAACCAUUAUGUUGUGUUUGUUAAUUUACUUUACAAACAACAUGUAUUUUAUCGUAUAAGUAACUAGAAUUUGUAUAUACAUGUAUACGAGUAUUUAUUUGUGUAUCUGUGUUACUAUCUAUGUACCUAUAUGAAUAUAUUUUUACAUUUG